rnacentral:rRNA from 1 species
AACGAACGUUAGCGGCGCGCUUAACACAUGCAAGUCGAGCGAGAAAGGGCUUCGGCCCCGGUAAAGCGGCGCACGGGUGAGUAACACGUAGGUAAUUUGCCCUCGGGUGGUGGAUAACUUUCCGAAAGGAAGGCUAAUACAGCAUGAGACCACGGUUCCGAAAGGGAUUGAGGUCAAAGCCGGCCAAUUCAUGAAAGCUGGUGCCUGAGGAUGAGCCUGCGGCCCAUCAGCUAGUUGGUAGGGUAAUGGCCUACCAAGGCGAAGACGGGUAGCUGGUCUGAGAGGAUGAUCAGCCACACUGGAACUGAGACACGGUCCAGACUCCUACGGGAGGCAGCAGUGGGGAAUCUUGCGCAAUGGGCGAAAGCCUGACGCAGCGACGCCGCGUGAGUGAUGAAGGCCCUUCGGGGUUGUAAAGGCUCUGUGGAGGGGGACGAAUAAGGGUU